rnacentral:lncRNA from 1 species
AAAAUAUUCGAUGUCCUCACUGUGUCCGUUGUAGUGCCGUAUUCACUAUUCAACCUUCCAAUUCUCUGUCAAAAAAUAAAUCGUGAAUCUAGAUAAUGGCAAAGGAGAUUCUACGCUUCGUGUUGAACACCGGAGCAAAAAUUCCCUCAGUCGGCCUUGGCACGUGGCAGGCGGACCCUGGUGUUGUCGGUCGUGCUGUUGAAACCGCCAUCAAGGUCGCCGAUCGCCACUCUCUCUACCUACAUUUGUACAUCAUUUAUGCAUAUGCGUAUCUUCGUGUGCUGAAUGUAUAAUGAGAUUAUUUAGGGCAUUUAGGAGGAUUUAGCGUUGUGCGGAUUUAAAAAUUUUAAGUUUAAUUUAGAAAAUGUUUUGGGGUUUGGUUCCACUCCAAUUUCAGUGAUUUGUUUGAAAAAAAGGGGCACAAAAAUGGAAUGGGAGGAUGUUGGUCCAAAAUUUGUUAUAAUAUAGUGGCUUGUAAACUUCCGGUGCUAAUUACUGGUAAACUGCUGGAGCUUAGGAGUGGAAUACAUGCCUUAUAUAUGAAGUCCUGUUGCAGAAGUCCUUAUGUUCAAUAUUGGUUGCAGCGUUUAUACUUUUGGUUAUGUUAUCAGUUCUUCUCUGUGGCUAACCAUUGCAUUAACUCAGAGCAACGACAAUGCUGACUAUUAUGAGUUUGUUAUAGCAUUUUCUGGUGAUUAUUGAAUUAUAUUGAGAAUGAAUAAUGAAGCAAGAAAAUAUGAGAGUUGACAUCUUAACGUGUAUGGAAUUGGUCCGCUUAAGUUUGAUAUCACUUGCAGUUAAUGCAGAUAGUAUUUUCAUCUCAUACAUGAGCAGAUGAAAUUUAAUGGAAAAAUAUUUUCAUCUUGUACCGUAAAAUGAUGUGCACAUUCUUAGAUUUCUAGCUUGACAGUGAGAAAAAUUGUCUUUCUAUAAUUGUCUAUCAAUCCCUGCUACUUUUAUGCAGAUUGGAUACCGCCAUAUUGACUGUGCUCGAUCCUAUAGAAAUGAGAAGGAGGUAUUUUUUUCUUUACAUCGCUGUUGUGAAGGCACAAGAUCCCUUUUUCUUUACUAUGCCCUUGUUUUAUGUAACUUUAAAAAUGAUAAAAAUCUAAGCCAAAAUCAACAACCAAUUUUAACUACACAUUUUAUGGGAUUCACAAUUUUUAUCAACUUUCCAACUACGCAUAUCAUAACUUUUGUCAAAAUCAACUAAAAAUCUGAUAUUUAGCUACGACAAAAAGGGGCUAUAUAUGUGUAUGUGAGACUCAUCUUCUGUUCUUCUUUGCAGAUAGGUUCAGUUUUAAAGAAGCUGUUUGAUGAUGGAGUUGUGAAGAGGGAGGAUUUAUUUGUUACCUCCAAACUCUGGUAAUCAAAUUUUGUUCACAAAUAUAUUCAAAAUGUGAUCAGGUUCUGAAUUCAUUUGGGAGAAUUCAAAACUCCAAUGUGAUAGUUAAUAUUUGAAGAUGAUUAUUUGCUAUGUAAAGCUGGUUGAUGAAACUUGUCAGUGUGAGUUACUUUAAUUUUGAAGUGUGAAACAAGAACAUCUUCCAUUAUAUGGGGCAAGAACUAGUUUUCCAUUAUAAUGGAUGUAAAUUAUGCUAUGGUACUGUCGUCUUUGUAAUUUGUGCACGUUUCGUUACAAAAUACUCUUUAUGCCUUUGCUGCUUCACCUUCUUUUUGGGUUUGAUCCAAAGCUAGUCUUGAGGUUCUCGAACGUUGUAGUUCUUAUACUAAUCACUUCAUCUUACUCUUCUCUUUCACAUCCGGUCUUUAUUGACUGACUUUUUAAGCAUUCAACCUAGAACUGAUCUCUUAACUUCUGCAGGUGUUCUGAUCAUGCACCAGAAGAUGUACCCAUGGCAUUAGAUAAAACAUUGGAAGAUUUGAAACUUGACUAUCUUGAUUUGUAUCUUGUACGUAAAUUUUCGUGAUAUUAACCUUUUAUUAAAAUUUUGACAAUUUAAAAGUUAACGCAAGAUGACCUUAUAAGAAGACAGUAUGCAUGAAUUCGUAGAUCUAGAAUAACACAGAAUCAGCUUGAUCCAUAGACAUCUUUCUUUUCUUUUCUUUGAGAGGGAUAUUUUGCAUCUUUACUGUUGGAAAAAUUAUAUCAUGGGCUAAUGAAUGGACCUGUCUAAUUGUGAAGAUCCAUUGGCCUGCCCGGUUGAGGAAGGGGGCUGUUGGCAUUAAUCCAGAAGACUUUGUUCCAGUUGAUAUACCUACCACAUGGAAGGCCAUGGAAGCACUCUACGACUCUAGUAAGGCCCGAGCUAUUGGAAUUUGCAAUAUAUCCACCAAAAAGCUUGGUGAUCUAUUGGAUGUAGCUCGCAUUCCUCCGGCUGUCGUCCAAGUUGAGUGCCAUCCGGUGUGGCAGCAGACCAAACUACGAGAAUUCUGUAAAUCAAAGGGAGUUCACCUCUCUGUGAGUUGGCAAAACUCGGUUACUUAACAUUACACAAUGAUCCUUUGGUUCAUGUCUCUAAGAAUGAGGAAACUUCUUUUGGUCUUCUCUCUCUUUGUGGUGGUGGGGGUAGUUAUAUUUCAAUUUGAUAAUCAUAAUUGCUUGGCUCACCAUUAAAAGUUUAAAUCUGAGAACGGUUUUUACCUUUGAUUUUUUUUGCAUUUUAAUCAACGUGUUAAUUUUCUUAAAAGGGAUAUUCACCACUUGGUUCGCCUGGAACGGUGAUGUACAAGACCAAUGUUCUCAAGCAUCCUGUUAUAGUCACUACCGCAGAAAAAUUGGGUAAAACUCCUGCUCAGGUUGCUCUUCGAUGGGGUUUGCAGAUGGGUCAUAGUGUACUUCCCAAGAGCACAAAUGAAUCAAGGAUCAAAGAGAACUUUGAUGUUUUUGAUUGGUCUAUACCUGAUGACUUGUUUGCCAAGUUCUCCAAAAUUGAUCAGGCAAGUUAUUUCCAUUUCAUUACAUUAAAUCCCUUUGAGAUUUUAUGGGUGUAUUUCUUCUCGAGGGAAGUUCUGAGUAGUGCAACAAUCUAUUUUGUGAAUACAGCUGAGAAGAGUUAGAUAUUAGAUGAAUAGUACUCACUAGCAAUUUUUUGAUUCGUCCCCAUCAUGUGAAUCCCAUACAGUUGUUGUCAUUAAAUAUUAGUACUACAACUUAUAGGUCAUACUUGUGAGGCAUGUUUCGUAGGCAGUAUUAGAUCAAACUGGACAUUAAUAGAUAAGAUUUAAUUCAUUUCCCAUACAUGCCUACAUGCAUGCAGCAUCACCAACAAUAAAGAUUUUGAUGUUAAAAUUUUUGCCAAGUUGCUUCACAUCUACACCGUUUUUUACACAGCGAACAAAAUUUGAUUUUAAGAACUUUGGCAUUUUCUUUCCACAGCUCGUAAGAAAUGCGUUUUUCUAUGCUGGCAGGAAAGACAAGUUACAGGUAAUUUUUUUGUCCACGAGAAGUUCGGCUCAUACAGAACCGUCGAAGAUAUAUGGGAUGGUGACAUUUGAGCUGGCUUUGCAAGCAUAGAUGUUCUGGUAACUUAUGAUUUCUAGUUAAUGUGUGUAAUUUCAUACUGGAAAAAAUGUUUCCUGUUAAUCAUGCUUCCAUCGAAAGUUUGAAGUUUGUCCUGAUGCUGAAGGAGUUUAAAGUUUGAACUAUUUUG